UACAGAGGGGGCAAGCGUUGUUCGGAAUUACUGGGCGUAAAGGGCGCGUAGGCGGCCCGCUAAGUCGAACGUGAAAUCCCCGAGCUCAACUCGGGAACUGCGUCCGAUACUGGCGGGCUUGAAUCCGGGAGAGGGAUGCGGAAUUCCAGGUGUAGCGGUGAAAUUCGUAGAUAUCAGGAGGAACACCGGUGGCGAAGGCGGCUUUCUGGACGACAACUGACGCUGAGACGCGAAAGCGUGGGGAGCAAACAGG
rnacentral:rRNA from 1 species